AUGAUACUCCCUUUGUUCGGAAUUACUUGUCUUGAAAAUGGAUGUAUCUAGAACUAAAAUACGUCUAGAUACAUCCAUUUUCGCGACAAGUAAUUCCGAACGGAGGGAGUAGUUU
rnacentral:pre_miRNA from 1 species